rnacentral:lncRNA from 1 species
CAUACGGUACGGUAGCUGCUAAUGUUACAGUGUGGUCCCAAGUCGGUUAAAAAGAAAUCGCAUUAGAAGAAAAUACACCUCAAUGGCAGCAAUCUCUGUUUUAGGAUGUCAAGACUACUGAUCAUUUUUACUUUGUCUUUUCCCUUUUUUGCAUUUCCAAACUUCUCAUUAAAGAUGUAUCAAAAUUGUUAAACCAAGUUGGAGCUAAUUACAAACAAAAUCUACAUUUGAAACCACCGCUUUUGAUCAUUCUAGGGUUACACCUAGAAGGCCCAGAGUAGAGAGGCCCCAGCGGGGAGUUUUCAUAGGAUCUGAAGCAUCCUGGGGCCAGGACUGGGGUACCGGCUUCCAAGGACUCCUCCUGCCCUGGGCACCACGUCACUUCUUGUCACAGGGACAAUGGGCUCGGCUGUGUCAGGUCACCAACCACACCCGGACUGGCAAGAAAGUGAUUCCCAGUCGCCCCACCCCCCACGCCCUGUGGGCACUGGGAAGCUCCUGCUCCUUCUCCUUAAGUAGAGAUCUUGAUGCAGUUAGCAGCCUCGGAGAAUUAGAACAGCGGUCGAGGGAAUUUUUCAGACACUGCCUCGGCGGUGGAGAAAGAGCUCCUGAAGCCUGUGCUCCUGCACUGCAGCUGUCCAGCCUCGGGAUGCCUUCUCCCAGGGCGGAGGCCAGUCUGCUCUGUUUACACACCUGGACCUGGUGUGAAGGGCAGUUUGGAGGGAGGGGGGCUCCCCUGGCCAUUUGUGGAGUCGUUCCCACUUCCCAGCAGCAGGCUAUAGACCAGCCUUCCAAGAAAUACCAGAAGCCAAGUGCACUAUCUGUCAUCACUUAAUAAAGCUUCGAGCUUUUUUUUCUUUUUUUGGUCUUUUCUAGGGCCGCACCCACGGCAUAUGGAGGUUCCCAGGCUAGGGGUCUGAUCGGAGCUGUAGCCGCCGGCCUAGGCCUACACCAGAGCCACGGCAACACCAGAUCCGAGCUGCGUCUGUGACCUACACCACAGCUCACCGCAACGCCGGAUCCUUAACCCACUGAGCAAGGCCAGGGAUCGAACCCGCAACCUCAUGGUUCCUAGUCGGAUUCAUUAACCACUGCGCCACGACGGGAACUCCUAAAGCUUCGAGCUUUGCAUGUAACAAAAGGGGAUGAAACAGCCCAGCCUCACAUUGCAGGAACCCAAGAAUCAUUCCAUCGGCUCCACGUGGAAAGGGCUUUCUCUUCUUCUAACGUUUAACUAUUAGAUCUAAGAUGAGCAACAAGGCUCCUAGUAAAUAAAAUAGGAAUAAAAUAGGAGUUCCCUGAUAAU